AUAGCGGAAUCCGAAAAGCUAAUUUCAGAUAGAGUAGGAA
rfam:Algibacter sp. SK-16 scaffold5_cov53_read183, whole genome shotgun sequence.